rnacentral:rRNA from 1 species
UAGGGAAUCUUCGGCAAUGGACGGAAGUCUGACCGAGCAACGCCGCGUGAGUGAAGAAGGUUUUCGGAUCGUAAAGCUCUGUUGUUAGAGGAGAACGUUGGUAGGAGUGGAAAAUCUACCAAGUGACGGUAACUAACCAGAAAGGGACGGCUAACUACGUGCCAGCAGCCGCGGUAAUACGUAGGUCCCGAGCGUUGUCCGGAUUUAUUGGGCGUAAAGCGAGCGCAGGCGGUUCUUUAAGUCUGAAGUUAAAGGCAGUGGCUUAACCAUUGUACGCUUUGGAAACUGGAGGACUUGAGUGCAGAAGGGGAGAGUGGAAUUCCAUGUGUAGCGGUGAGAUGCGUAGAUAUAUGGAGGAACACCGGUGGCGAAAGCGGCUCUCUGGUCUGUAACUGACGCUGAGGCUCGAAAGCGUGGGGAGCAAACAGG